rnacentral:lncRNA from 1 species
GUUAUAUUAUUCAUGUUAUUUUUAUAUUUUCCCUUUACUGAUAUUUAACAAAUAUUACAUAUUGGCAGUCUUCUAAGUAAUAAAACAUUAUUUCAUUUAAUAAUCAUAAAACCAAGCAUGCUAUUGUGUUAUUACAAACUGCAGAAUAGGAAACCGGGACCCUGAGGAGUGUAAAUAAAUUCUCCAGAGUCAGAAAGGUAAUAAUGUUGACCCUAUUUUUAUGUGCCUGUUGUACUUAUCUUGGGAGAAAAUGUGACAUUGGAAAAGAGUUGAAAUUGUAUAAUUAUUGUUUUUUCUUUUAAUUGACUGAUAUGACAUUGUUUACAUAUUGGCUUUUGUCUAAAGAAAGAGGACAUUAUUGUAGUUUUGAAAAUAUGGGCUGCCUUUUAUAGUUGUACCAUAGUUUUGAUAGCUCAAUUUCACAUACAGAUACAUUUAACGUCACUAGAUAUAGAGUAAGAACUUUGUCUAUUAUCUGCUGAAUGUGUCAUUUCCCACAGGUGCUAAGAACUCUCAAGCCAUGGAGAGAGAUGCAUUUGGAGUUGUUUACAUUCAGACAAAGCCCAUCUGGUUGUUUGCAGCUAGUCACAAGGGACUUGAAUAUCACAUGGUACAUUGAUUGAUAUGACCAUUUCCUAAAUGAAACUAUGUAGGAAUGGAAAACAUGCAGUUAAGCUACAUUUUUUACAUUAUUUUUAGUUGACAUGUAAUAAUUGCACAUAUUUAUUGGGUACAGAAUAUUUUGAUGCGUGUAUAAAAUGUGUAAUGAUCAAAUCAGGGUAAUUAGGAUAUACGUGGCUUCAAACAUUUAUCAUUUCUUAGUGGUGGGAACAUUGAAAAUCCUAAAGAGAUGUAAAUGUUCUUUAAAUUUUUAAUCAAGAAUACAUCAUUGAUCAUUUGGUAUCCCAUACAUCUAUCCAUACAAAAAGGACAUCGUUAAUAAAUAGAUUGAGGGUCACAUAUGUAUGCCUAGAGAUAUUAUUCCUCUUCAGAUACCAAGACAUUUCUGAAGCUGUGCCUUUCAUGGAAGGCCAGACUAAAUAUAUACUUUAAUGAAGAAAUAAACAAAUGAAUUCAUUUUAGAAAACAUGUAAUAGAUAUGUUAAUUCUCAUCUUUGAAAGAGUAAA